AACGAACGCUGGCGGCAGGCUUAACACAUGCAAGUCGAACGCCCCGCAAGGAGAGUGGCAGACGGGUGAGUAACGCGUGGGAACGUGCCCUUCGCUUCGGAAUAGCCCCGGGAAACUGGGAGUAAUACCGAAUACGCCGUAUUGGGAAAGAUUUAUCGGCGAAGGAUCGGCCCGCGUUAGAUUAGCUAGUUGGCGGUGUAAUGGACCACCAAGGCUACGAUCUAUAGCUGGUCUGAGAGGAUGAUCAGCCACACUGGGACUGAGACACGGCCCAGACUCCUACGGGAGGCAGCAGUGGGGAAUCUUGGACAAUGGGCGCAAGCCUGAUCCAGCCAUGCCGCGUGAGUGAAGAAGGCCUUAGGGUUGUAAAACUCUUUCGCCGGAGAAGAUAAUGACGGUAUCCGGAGAAGAAGCCCCGGCUAACUUCGUGCCAGCCGCCGCGGUAAGAC
rnacentral:rRNA from 1 species